GACGAACCGAGCGACCGUUGUUCGGAAUCACUGGGCUUAAAGGGCGCGUAGGCGGGUGCUCAAGUCCGGGGUGAAAUCCUCCAGCUCAACUGGAGAACUGCCUCGGAUACUGGGUGCCUCGAGUGUGGUAGGGGUGUGCGGAACUAUCGGUGGAGCGGUGAAAUGCGUUGAUAUCGAUAGGAACUCCGGUGGCGAAGGCGGCACACUGGACCACAACUGACGCUGAGGCGCGAAAGCCAGGGGAGCAAACGGG
rnacentral:rRNA from 1 species